rnacentral:tRNA from 1 species
AAAGAUUUAGUUUAAAUAAAACAUUAACUUGUCAAGUUAAAAAUAUUAAACUAUUAAUAAUCUUUA